rnacentral:rRNA from 1 species
UACGUAGGUGGCGAGCGUUGUCCGGAUUUACUGGGCGUAAAGGAUGCGUAGGUGGACUUUUAAGUCAGAUGUGAAAUCCCCGGGCUUAACUUGGGGGCUGCAUUUGAAACUGGAGGUCUGGAGUGCAGGAGAGGUAAGUGGAAUUCCUAGUGUAGCGGUGAAAUGCGUAGAUAUUAGGAAGAACACCAGUGGCGAAGGCGACUUACUGGACUGUAACUGACACUGAGGCAUGAAAGCGUGGGGAGCAAACAGG